rnacentral:rRNA from 1 species
AGAGUUUGAUCCUGGCUCAGGAUGAACGCUGGCGGCGUGCUUAACACAUGCAAGUCGAACGAUGAUCCCCAGCUUGCUGGGGGGAUUAGUGGCGAACGGGUGAGUAACACGUGAGUAACCUGCCCUUAACUCUGGGAUAAGCCUGGGAAACUGGGUCUAAUACCGGAUAUGACUCCUCAUCGCAUGGUGGGGGGUGGAAAGCUUUAUUGUGGUUUUGGAUGGACUCGCGGCCUAUCAGCUUGUUGGUGAGGUAAUGGCUUACCAAGGCGACGACGGGUAGCCGGCCUGAGAGGGUGACCGGCCACACUGGGACUGAGACACGGCCCAGACUCCUACGGGAGGCAGCAGUGGGGAAUAUUGCACAAUGGGCGCAAGCCUGAUGCAGCGACGCCGCGUGAGAGAUGACGGCCUUCGGGUUGUAAACCUCUUUCAGUAGGGAAGAAGCGAAAGUGACGGUACCUGCAGAAGAAGCGCCGGCUAACUACGUGCCAGCAGCCGCGGUAAUACGUAGGGCGCAAGCGUUAUCCGGAAUUAUUGGGCGUAAAGAGCUCGUAGGCGGUUUGUCGCGUCUGCCGUGAAAGUCCGGGGCUCAACUCCGGAUCUGCGGUGGGUACGGGCAGACUAGAGUGAUGUAGGGGAGACUGGAAUUCCUGGUGUAGCGGUGAAAUGCGCAGAUAUCAGGAGGAACACCGAUGGCGAAGGCAGGUCUCUGGGCAUUAACUGACGCUGAGGAGCGAAAGCAUGGGGAGCGAACAGGAUUAGAUACCCUGGUAGUCCAUGCCGUAAACGUUGGGCACUAGGUGUGGGGGACAUUCCGCCUUUUCCUUACCGAAAGUGAUGAAUGAUCCGCCUGGCCAGGAGAGCCCCGAGGCUGAGACUCAAAUGAAUUGAAUUGAGCCCGGCCCGCCCAAGCAGCAUGUGGUGUAAUUCAAUUAUAUGCAACGAACCUAACCUUAGCUAGGAUGGACGUGACCCGGUCAGACCUGCUACUUCGCUUCCCGCUUGCGAGCAAGGUGCUGGUGGGGUGUGGUCGUCUCCUGCUCGGGGGUGGUUGUGUUGGUCCAGCUCCCACAGCAACCCCUAUCUUCAUUUGAUGUUGCAUCAUGGUGAUGACGCUGACUAGAAUGAUACUGCCGGGAGUGACUAAGAGGAAGACGACGACGAGUCAUCAUGGUCCUGACCCCUAUGUCUACACACUUGCUACUGCUACCGUGACCGAUACUCACUACUGCGAUACUGGAAGGCGAUCUCAAACAGCCGCUCUCAGUUUCAAUUCGGAUCGGCAACUGCACCCCGACACCUGAAAUCGCUAGUCGCUCGCGUAUC